ACCAGCCACUGCAAAAAGCCAACAGGAUACAGGAACAGCCGAACAGGCCCCCGCCCCCCUCGCUCCAUUCCAAAUCACUGUAGGCUGAUAGAGGCUCUUAUGUGCUCACAAGAUUGGUUGCGGAACAAGUAUGAAAUUGACAACGAGGAAAAAGAAGCUGCCACCUUCUGGUCUUGCCUCCAAGAUAUUCAAGAGGGUAUCCAGAACUUGAACUUUGAGCAAAGCAAAACAAGUUGUCUCCAACUCCAAGUGAAGGAAACCAACACAUCAACAAACGACCAGCAUAUUUGUUGUCCUAUAUAUGUUGACUGCAAUGAACAUGGAGAUUUAUUUAUGUACCCCUUUUG